AACGCGUUAAGUAGACCGCCUGGGGAGUACGGCCGCAAGGUUAAAACUCAAAUGAAUUGACGGGGGCCCGCACAAGCGGUGGAGCAUGUGGUUUAAUUCGAUGCAACGCGAAGAACCUUACCUGGUCUUGACAUCCACAGAACUUUCCAGAGAUGGAUUGGUGCCUUCGGGAACUGUGAGACAGGUGCUGCAUGGCUGUCGUCAGCUCGUGUUGUGAAAUGUUGGGUUAAGUCCCGCAACGAGCGCAACCCUUAUCCUUUGUUGCCAGCGAUUAGGUCGGGAACUCAAAGGAGACUGCCAGUGAUAAACUGGAGGAAGGUGGGGAUGACGUCAAGUCAUCAUGGCCCUUACGACCAGGGCUACACACGUGCUACAAUGGCGCAUACAAAGAGAAGCGACCUCGCGAGAGCAAGCGGACCUCAUAAAGUGCGUCGUAGUCCGGAUUGGAGUCUGCAACUCGACUCCAUGAAGUCGGAAUCGCUAGUAAUCGUGGAUCAGAAUGCCACGGUGAAUACGUUCCCGGGCCUUGUACACACCGCCCGUCACACCAUGGGAGUGGGUUGCAAAAGAAGUAGGUAGCUUAACCUUCGGGAGGGCGCUUACCACUUUGUGAUUCAUGACUGGGGUGAAGUCGUAACAAGGUAACCGUAGGGGAACCUGCGGUUGGA
rnacentral:rRNA from 1 species